rnacentral:rRNA from 1 species
AUUGAACGCUGGCGGAAUGCUUUACACAUGCAAGUCGAACGGUAGAGGGGGCAACCCCUUGAGAGUGGCGAACGGGUGAGUAAUAUAUCGGAACGUGCCCAGUCGUGGGGGAUAACGUAGUGAAAAUUACGCUGAUACCGCAUACGAUCUAAGGAUGAAAGCGGGGGAUCGCAAGACCUCGCGCGACUGGAGCGGCCGAUAUCAGAUUAGGUAGUUGGUAGGGUAAAGGCCUACCAAGCCAACGAUCUGUAGCUGGUCUGAGAGGACGACCAGCCACACUGGAACUGAGACACGGUCCAGACUCCUACGGGAGGCAGCAGUGGGGAAUUUUGGACAAUGGGCGAAAGCCUGAUCCAGCCAUUCCGCGUGCAGGAUGAAGGCCCUCGGGUUGUAAACUGCUUUUGUACAGAACGAAAAGGUUUCUAUUAAUACUAGGAGCUCAUGACGGUACUGUAAGAAUAAGCACCGGCUAACUACGUG